CCGCACUAAAUCUGGAUUCACUGACACAAAGCAGUAAGAGCUUUGCAAGGCAUUUUAAAGACUGUAACUAUGAGCGCUACAAGUGGCUAACAGCUAGCACUGAACACAACAAGUUACUGUAUGGAUUUUAUUUACAAGUAAUGGGUAUAGUUGACGUCUCUUGAAGGCCCUGACUGAAACCCCACAGCAUGCCACUGUGUGUACUGAAUCCUGACAGGAAUCAUCAGAAGGACAAACGGCAGGAUCCACAGCAGAAACAGGACGACGCGCAGGAUGUAAAAUAAGGUCGGGGCCUGGUCACUGACAUUUCAGAUGAGACAGCCAUCUGAGGAGUUUGGAGAAUGGAUGAAGACCUCUGACUAUAAGAAGACUUCUGGAUCAGAAACACUGAAUCCAUACUGGUAGUAUUAUUAGGCUACAAAUACUGUAUUUCAGCAUGUGGCGAAUUUCAAAGCCACAGGACAUUUUUUUCCCAACAAAACAUUGCAGUUUCAGAAAUGUUCCUCUUUUUUUGACUCUUCUGUUCCCUGGUCAUGAAGUUAUGGCUGACUUAAUUUCAAUAUUACACAUAGAUUGUGCUGACAACCUGUGGAUUGGACGACAGUGGACAUCUGUAGCAUUACCAUUUGGCUGUGGGGUGAAAGUGGGAAAAGCUGUGUGAACAAAACAACAUUCUCGAAUACUCCAGCAACGUAUAUGAGUAUUUGAAAUACUGCUAUUUAUUUAAAAAAACAAGUGAUGGGAAAUCAGGAGAGGAACACAUGAUGAAAAAAUCGAUUUUGUGAUGGUGGCUGUGAUGUAACCUGUGCAGCAGAGUUAGUUUGAUGUGAAGAGUCUGUCAGAGAAAAAUACAAAAUGUAAUGUGGCCAAAAAACAUAACGUUACUUUUCUGUUGCUUUUUAUUAUUCUGUCUCUCUCUGUGUUGGUCUCACCGACUGCCAGCUGUAUCUUUAUGAAUCUCAGCUGAGAGUCUGAACCACAGUAGUAUGUUCCUGUUCUUAUUUAUAAUAAACUUGAGUUCAACCC